AAGGGAGACCUAAUUCAGGUAGGAGACGAAAAAAAAGUAGUCCCAACCAAGAAUCAAUCCCAAAAGGUCGGAGCGAGGCGAAAUUGGCUUUCAAACUAGGUUCUGGGUUCACACAAGACCUGAAUCAGGAACAAGGGCUAUUAGCUCAGGUGGUUAGAGCGCACCCCUGAUAAGGGUGAGGUCCCUGGUUCGAGUCCAGGAUGGCCCACCUGCACAGGUGGCAAAAACAAGAGAAGCGAGGAAUCAGCACCUUAUCUUAUCUAUACAUAUAUAGGAGAGAAUGCUGGCUCUGAGUAAAGAGUCCAGAGGAACCUUGAAAACUGCAUAGAGCUAGGUGAAAAAGCCAAAAAAGAAGACCGCAA
rnacentral:tRNA from 1 species